rnacentral:rRNA from 1 species
AUUGAACGCUGGCGGCAGGCCUAACACAUGCAAGUCGAACGAGUGGCGGACGGGUGAGCAAUGUCUGGGAAACUGCCUGAUGGAGGGGGAUAAAUAAUGGAAACGGUAGCUAAUACCGCAUAACAUAAGAUGUGCCCAGAUGGGAUUAGCUAGUGUGUGGGGUAACGGCUCAUCAAGGCGACGAUCCCUAGCUGGUCUGAGAGGAUGACCAGCCACACUGGAACUGAGGCACGGUCCAGACUCCUACGGGAGGCAGCAGUGGGGAAUAUUGCACAAUGGGCGCAAGCCUGAUGCAGCCAUGCCGCGUGUAUGAAGAAGGCCUUCGGGUUGUAAAGUUCUUUCAGCUGGGAGGCGUUACCCGCAGAAGAAGCACCGGCUAACUCCGUGCCAGCAGCCGCGGUAAUUC